UUCUUAAUGUAGACAAAGGUAGUAUCAUAGCUAAUGAGGUUAAUCCGAGGCGUGAUUAUUGCUAGUUGAAAAUCAUCUCUAAGUACUAGUGAGGGGCCCAGUUCCCUGGACUGAAGCCUUGUCGUCUAGUUGAAACGGUUAG